GGCAGAGGAGGCAAGCGUUGUUCGGAAUCAUUGGGCUUAAAGGGCGUGCAGGCGGCGGCGCAAGUGUCGAGUGAAAUCCCAUCGCUCAACGAUGGAACGGCUCGGCAAACUGCGUCGCUUGAGGUCGGUAGAGGUGCUCGGAACUCUAGGUGGAGCGGUGAAAUGCGUAGAUAUCGAGAGGAACACCGGUGGCGAAGGCGGCCAACUGGACGAAGACUGACGCUGAGACACGAAGGUCAGGGGAGCAAACGGG
rnacentral:rRNA from 1 species